rnacentral:rRNA from 1 species
CAAAGGGAUUACCGGUGGCGGAUGGGCAUGCGGCGCAUUAGCUAGUCGGCGGGGUAACGGCCCACCGAGGCGACGAUGCGUAGGGGUUCUGAGAGGAAGGUCCCCCACACUGGUACUGAGACACGGACCAGACUCCUACGGGAGGCAGCAGUGAGGAAUAUUGGUCAAUGGGCGCGAGCCUGAACCAGCCAAGUCGCGUGAGGGAUGGCGGUCCUACGGAUUGUAAACCUCUUUUGCCGGGGAGCAAGCGUGCGUUCGUGAACGCGCGUCGAGAGUACCCGGAGAAAAAGCAUCGGCUAACUCCGUGCCAGCAGCCGCGGUAAUACGGAGGAUGCGAGCGUUAUCCGGAUUUAUUGGGUUUAAAGGGUGCGUAGGCGGGAUGCCAAGUCAGCGGUAAAAAUGCGGUGCUCAACGCCGUCGAGCCGUUGAAACUGGCGUUCUUGAGUGGGCGAGAAGUAUGCGGAAUGCGUGGUGUAGCGGUGAAAUGCAUAGAUAUCACGCAGAACUCCGAUUGCGAAGGCAGCAUACCGGCGCCCUACUGACGCUGAGGCACGAAAGCGUGGGUAUCGAACAGGAUUAGAUACCCUGGUAGUCCACGCAGUAAACGAUGAAUGCUAACUGUCCGGUGCGAGUGAGCGCUGG